rnacentral:rRNA from 1 species
UUUAUUGGAGAGUUUGAUCCUGGCUCAGGACGAACGCUGGCGGCGUGCCUAAUACAUGCAAGUCGAGCGGAUCUCACCUUCGGGUGAGAUUAGCGGCGGAC